CAUAGCAACAAACCCUGUUUGAGAACUUCACAGUGAUAUUUGACUCUAUAAACUGUGCAACCUUCAGCUGAGCAGCCCCUGUUUAUCUGCAUCACAUCUGCACUGUGUUGCAAGAACAGAGGAUGUAUUUCUCUAAGUGGUCCAAAUGUGUUUUACUGGGCUAACUUUGAACUGACGGUGUUCCUCACUCCAGCCACAUCAGCAGAGAGCCAUUAAAAAAACAAAACAAAACAAACAAACAAAAACAACUGGGGGGAGAAUACAAGCUAUGCAUCUGAAGGAUAUCUCUGUUUCACCGUGUCAUUCUACUGCAGUUAUGUUUUCUAAGUAACUUUAUUAAAACCGUUCAUUAAAGCAUACUCGAUUUCUAUUCAAGGAUUACAAAAAAAGAACAAGUGAAAGUUAUAUU
ensembl:lncRNA